UACGAGAGGCCCAAACGUUAUUCGGAAUUACUGGGCUUAAAGAGUUCGUAGGCGGCAUGGAAAGCAGGGUGUGAAAGCCCUCGGCUCAACCAAGGAAUUGCGCUCUGAACUGUCGUGCUUGAGGAACCUAGAGGUGAGCAGAACAGAUGGUGGAGCGGUGAAAUGCGUUGAUAUCAGCUGGAAUACCGGAGGCGAAGGCGGCUCACUGGGGGUUUUCUGACGCUGAGGAACGAAAGCCAGGGUAGCGAACGGG
rnacentral:rRNA from 1 species